rnacentral:rRNA from 1 species
UAGUGAUACGCUUGUCUCAAAGAUUAAGCCAUGCAUGUCUAAGUAUAAAUGAAAAGAAAGUGAAACUGCAGAUGGCUCAUUAAAUCAGUUAUAAUUUAUUUGAUGACCGAAAAACUACAUGGAUAACCGUAGUAAUUCUAGAGCUAAUACAUGCGAAGGGUCCCGACUCGCGAGGGAAGGGAUGUAUUUAUUAGAUGCAUUUGGAAAAUCAAUGCUUGCUCGAAAGGGCAAGCAAAGAACGAUGAAUCGUAGUAACUGUGUCGAAGCGCAUGCGCAAGCGAGCGCUAGUUCAUUCAAAUUUCUGCCCUAUCAGCUUUUGACGGUAGACUAGUGGCCUACCGUGGCAUUGACGGGUGACGGAGAAUUAGGGUUCGACUCCGGAGAGGGAGCCUGAGAAACGGCUACCACAUCCAAGGAAGGCAGCAGGCACGCAAAUUACCCACUCCCGGCACGGGGAGGUAGUGACGAAAAAUAACGAGACGGCUCGCUAUGCGGUCCGUCAUCGGAAUGGGUACAAUUUAAAUCCUUUAACGAGGAUCUAUU